UUUAUUCUAUUUUUGCUGCAGAGAAUGUCAUUGCUGCAUUUGGAUUUACUGCCACUGGAAUAGCGGUUGGUUCUUGUGCUGACAAAUUAAAGUCAAUUGUCGCUUUUUUCAAUGGAGGAACAAUAUCACCUGAAAGUGUCAUCAUCACAUUUGAGGAUAUUGGCAUUGAAGGAUUUGCUCUCUCAACCAAGUUAAUGCUGGGAGUCAUUGGUGUCCUUUUGUGUACCAUCCUCUUCAUGAGACUGAGAAUUUUAUGAAUUCAGAAGACAUUGUUACAGAUAACUGAAGAAAUAAGGUGCCAUUUAUAUCUACUAGGUGUGUGAAAAUACAUGAAACGGUGUGCAUGAAACCUUGUAUGUCUACAAUUGAGACAAAUCUUUUAACACACUAAACCAGUUUAUAGUACUUGCCUAUAUUGGUGUACAUCAUCGGUGCCCCGCUCCCCACCAUGGAUGCCCUCCACCGAAAACGGUGUCUGAGACGGGCUGGGAAGAUCAUCAAAGACCCCUCACACCCCAACCAUGGACUUUGCCCUCCUCCCAUCAGGGAGGCGGUACAGGAGCCUCAGGUCACGUACUAGUAGGAUGAGGAACAGCUUCUACAACAAUACAAUCACAUUGCUGAACUCGGAGUCCCGCCGAUAGAUUUCUCCGGUCCCUCCGUCCCCAUUGUUUAAUUAUUCUGUAUUUUUUGAUUAUUCUGUAUCUUCUCUCUUUCUAUUUUUUUUAAAUUUCUUUAUGCACAACUACUACGGACUGACGCAAAACUGUAUUUUGUUGUACUCAUACUUGUAUUUGUGCGAUGACAUUAAAGUUGAAUUGAAUUG